rnacentral:rRNA from 1 species
AACCAGACUCCUACGGGAGGCAGCAGUGGGGAAUAUUGCACAAUGGGGGGAACCUUGAUGCAGCAACGCCGCGUGGGUGAAGAAGUACUCCGGUAUGUAAAGCCCUGUCAGCAGGGAAGAAAAUGACGGUACCUGACCAAGAAGCCCCGGCUAACUACGUGCCAGCAGCCGCGGUAAUACGUAGGGGGCAAGCGUUAUCCGGAUUUACUGGGUGUAAAGGGAGCGUAGACGGCAUGGCAAGUCAGAUGUGAAAGCCCGGGGCUCAACCCCGGGACUGCAUUUGAAACUGUCAGGCUGGAGUGCAGGAGAGGUAAGUGGAAUUCCUAGUGUAGCGGUGAAAUGCGUAGAUAUUAGGAGGAACACCAGUGGCGAAGGCGGCUUACUGGACUGUAACUGACGUUGAGGCUCGAAAGCGUGGGGAGCAAACAGGAUUAGAUACCCCUGUA